rnacentral:tRNA from 1 species
GCUUCGGUAGUUCAGUCGGUUAGAACACUACCUUGGUAAGGUAGAGGUCCCGAGUUCGAUUCUCGGCCGAAGCU